rnacentral:tRNA from 1 species
UCCCCUGUAGCUCAGCUGGUAGAGCAUGUGGCUGUUAACCACAGUGUCCUAGGUUCGAGUCCUAGCGGGGGAGCCA